rnacentral:rRNA from 1 species
AUGGCGACUCUCUCCGCCCCCUUGCUCCGUUCCCACCACCGUCACCUCCCCGUCCGCUCCUCGCCGCGCCGCUGCCCUUCCGCCGCCUUCCCGCGCGGGUUCGCUCCCCUCGAACCCCUCUCCUCCCGCGGGCCCUCACGCACCGCCGUCCGCUCCGCCUCGACCUCGGCAGCGGCACCGGAGGCCGCCGAGGCAACGGGAGGCGCGGCCCCGAGCGAAACGGCAGCGGAGGAGGAGGUGGUGGAGGCGCGCGUCGUGCUCCCCACCAACGAGUCCUCCGAGAACCUGCUGCGCAUCCGCCACACCUGUGCCCAUGUCAUGGCGAUGGCCGUCCAGAAGCUGUUCCCCAACUCCAAAGUGACCAUAGGCCCCUGGAUAGACAAUGGCUUCUACUACGACUUCGACAUGGAGCCCCUCACGGAUAAGGACCUCAAGAAGAUCAAGAAGGAGAUGGACCGAAUCAUUCGCCGGAACCUUCCAUUGGUGAGGGAGGAGGUGUCCAGGGAAGAGGCUCAAAAGAGGAUCCAAGCGCUUAACGAGCCAUAUAAGCUGGAGAUUUUGGAGAGAAUUAAGGAAGAACCCAUCACAAUUUAUCACAUUGGAGAAGAGUGGUGGGAUCUGUGUGCUGGCCCUCAUGUUGAGUCCACUGGCAAGAUACAGAGAAAGGCUGUUGAGCUCGAGUCUGUUGCUGGUGCUUACUGGAGAGGUGAUGAGAAUAAUCAAAUGCUACAAAGGAUAUAUGGGACUGCAUGGGAGAGUGAAGAUCAAUUGAAGGCUUACAUCCACUUCAAGGAGGAGGCCAAGCGCAGAGACCAUCGGCGACUAGGUCAGGACCUUGAUCUGUUCUCUAUACAGGAAGAUGCUGGUGGGGGUUUAGUAUUCUGGCAUCCAAAAGGUGCUAUCAUCAGACACAUUUUAGAAGAUUCGUGGAAACAAACUCACCUGCAACGUGGUUAUGAUCUAUUGUACACUCCACAUGUUGCGAAGGCUGAUCUCUGGAAGAUCAGUGGACAUAUAGAUUUCUACAAAGAGAAUAUGUACAACCAAAUGGAUGUAGAAGAUGAGCCAUAUCAACUUCGGCCCAUGAAUUGCCCUUACCACAUCUUGGUAUACAAGAGAAAGCUACAAUCAUACAGGGAUUUACCCAUCAGAGUGGCAGAGCUUGGAACUGUCUACAGAUACGAGCUCUCUGGUGCUCUGCACGGGCUGUUCCGCGUAAGAGGGUUCACACAGGAUGAUGCCCACAUAUUUUGUCUCGAAGACCAGAUAAAAGAUGAAAUUAGAGGAGUUCUUGAUUUAACUGAAGAAAUACUGGGGCAGUUUGGCUUCCGGAAUUUUGAGGUAAACCUUUCAACCAGGCCAGAAAAAUCUGUUGGCAGUGAGGACAUAUGGGAAAAGGCAACAAUUGCUCUGAAAGACGCACUAGAUGAUAAAGGAUGGGGAUACACGGUUGAUGAAGGGGGAGGUGCUUUCUAUGGUCCAAAAAUUGAUUUGAAAAUUGAGGACGCUCUUGGAAGAAAAUGGCAAUGUUCCACCGUGCAGGUUGACUUCAAUUUGCCUGAACGGUUUGACAUCACUUAUAUUGACUCGCAUACUGAGAAGAAACGGCCUAUCAUGAUUCAUAGAGCCAUCCUUGGGUCUUUGGAGCGAUUUUUUGGCAUCCUCAUUGAAAACUACGCUGGUGAUUUUCCACUUUGGCUUGCUCCAACCCAAGCCCGUAUUCUGCCUGUCACAAACAAUGAGUUGCAGUACUGUAAUGAGGUGGCUUCAGAGCUGAAAUCGAGAGGUAUCCGCGCCGAGGUAUGCCACGGCGAACGUCUGCCGAAGUUAAUCAGAAACGCCGAAACACAAAAGGUGCCGCUCAUGGCGGUCGUUGGCCCCAAAGAAGUCGAGGCCAGGACGCUCACCAUCAGGUCCCGGCAUAACGGGGAGAUGGGCACCAUGCCCGUCGACGAUUUCAUCAGCAAAAUCCAAUCGGCCGUUGCUGACAAAUCUUCCCUGUAG